rnacentral:lncRNA from 1 species
GACGGGCCCGGGGAGGCUUCCUAAAGAGGGGCUUUGUACAAGGGGUUGGCGCACGCCUGUCAUCCCAGCGCUUGGGAGGCUGAGGCAGGAGGAUCGCCAUGAGUUCAAGGCCAGCCUGGACUACACAGGGAGACCCUGUCUCAACCCUCUCAAAGAAGCAGGACCCAGGGUGUGUGCGCUCCUGAGUGCUGUCGCCCGCGGCGUGGCUCUGACAGAAGGCAAACCAGUUCCCUCCGUCCGUGGGAAGGUGGCCCCUAAGAGCUCCGCUCCUCGAGGUGUACCUGUGAUCUGAGCCUCAGUUUCCUCAUCCACAACCCACCAACCAGGGUCUACAGGAGGCUGGGAAGUGCGUUCGACCCAGGCGACCACUGCCCGGGCCCACAUGGUGCGGUGGCCUUGGGCAGCCAAGGUGGCGUCCUGAACCCUGGCGGACCAGGGGCUGGCGGAUCCGGGAACCUCCUGGGCCGGAAGUGGGCGUGGCUGGAGAUCUGCACGGUUUUGUCUUCUGUUCCUGGCCUCAGGCUCGUUUGCUGACCAGAUCAAAGGAGGUCAUUUAUCUGGGUAAAAAGGGCCAGGGGCUUAUUCAACGCUUGCUCUGAAGGAAUGGAGGGGCCCAGUCACCUCAAAUCGCUGUCUGCUGGGGCUCAGGCUUGGAGUCUUUCAUGGGGGGACAGAGGGGGCGGACGGGGAGAGGCAGUGCCUGUCUCCAGGAGGCUUCAGCUCAGCGCCCCUUUUCUUGUGGAAAGGAAGCCGGGCUCCCCGGCUCCAGCACCAGCAUAUUCUGUCCCUUCUUGGGGGCUGAGGAGAGGGGCUGGUUUGCUAUGUGCUCAGCAGGAGGAAGCUUGGAGACCUUAUCUCUAAAAGAAAACAUGUCUCACCUUGAAAGUUCCACACCUGUCAUCCCACCCCUCGGGGAGACUGAGGCAGGAGGAUGCUUGUCUCCUGUUCUGUCUCAGUAAGAAGAAGACACCUUGCCUCAUCUUCCAAACUCCUACUCAUACCUCAAAACCCCAUUUACAAUACCACCUCCUCUUCGUGACUAUAAAAGCCCUGGCCUCUCCCCCUGGGCUCCUCUAAUCCUUUCUCUCUCCUCAGUUUCUUCAUCUAUAAAAUGAGGGAAACCCUGUUUUGGGAGAGGUCUGGGGAAUGUCCUUGGCUCCCAGCAAGCUCAUGAUCAACGCAAUGCCCGGUACAUGAAUGGCGAUUAUGCGUCCUAGGUAGAGUGGGGACACUGCAGGCUGAGGCAGCCAUCGCUUGCGCUUUCCUGAGUGGCAUCAGGGACUUGGGCCUGUGACUCAGCUGCUCUCUGGGAGGCCCUGCUUCCCCUGAGGGGCCUCAGCUCUUGGGGUGAAGCCCAGGCCCCUGGGUUUCCUGCUCUGUGGCUUCAGGAAGGAAGCGGCCGCCUGCCCCAGGUAGGGACAGCCAUUGAGGGCCCAGGGCAAGGUCCCCUCCCCGAAGACUGGCACACCGGUGUGCAAGCAGGCCAGGCCAAUGUGGCGGUCGCCCCGGGGUGCCCUUCCGUGCCUGGGCCCUGCCUGGGGCUCACCGCCUCCACUGCCAGCUCUGGGCCUGUUAUCUCCUCCUGGGCGGGGGCUGCCAUGCGGCACGCAGGAGCCUGCACCUCCUGGUGGCUCUGGUUUUCAGAAAGUGGGGCCCCUUGUGAGGCCAGGCCGGCUGUUUGCUCGGGGUGACCUCUGGACCGCCAGGUGGCGCACACUCCUAUCUUGGCAGGUGGGGCCCUUUAACCCACCCCUCCACUGGGAAUGAUGCCCUGGUCUGGGGGUCCCCAACCACACCUCUGGCACAGAGCAACGAAUCGGCUGAGUCCCUGCCCGAGUCAGCGUUUGUUUUUUUAAGGUGAAAUUCACAUAACAGGAAAUGAACCAUUUAAAGGGGCCCUGGGGACAGUCACGGACUUGCACGAGUGAUCUAGGGGUGACAGGAGGCCCCCACGGACAGAGGGACAGAUUACAUCUCCCAACCUGCUAGGUGUCUGAAACACAGAGUUCCUGUUCCCUAAAAUCCAAGAAUAACUUUUAGGGACAAUGGAGGUUUAGAGUAGGAAAUAUUUAUUGAGGGAAAGACAGCUUCUGAGACAGACAGAAUGGGACCCGGAAAGCGGGUUGCCCACGAGGCCUCUUCUCAAAGAAGUUUUAUACAGCAAAGUCACGAGGUGGGCAUCGGGUGGGACAAUCUAUGGUCAACCGGUAAGAUUGCAGUGAACCCUCUCGGGUAACACUGCUCCGGGGCGAAGGCAGCUCACGUGGCAGGUGUGCAGGAAAGGAACAAGGCCCUUCCAGGAAGGCGUGGGGCAGGGCCUCGGUCCCCCGCGCAGGUGAUUGAUGCCUAUUUACCAGUCAUUGUUUCUCCCUGGCGAAGCACCUGUGAACAUUUCACCCCUGACUUGAGGCCUGGCCUCCAACAGCUGCGCCUCCACCCACAGCUGUAAAGUGUCUUCGUCUUCGGCACUGACUCCUUUGAGGGCCCAGCCAUGUUGACUGCCUACAAUAUUUCUACCUAACUUAGCUGUCUAUGAUACAAGCACCAGCCAGGCAUGGUGGCACAGGCCUAGCAUCCCAGUACUCAGGAGGCUGAGGCAGGAGAACCUGGGAGUUUGAAGCCAACCUGGGUUCCUUGAGACCCUGUCUUAAUAAGGAAACAACAGAAAAACAAACACAAACAAGUGUGUACAACCACCACUUUACCUCUGCUUCUGGAGCAUUUCCCACCCUCGUAGCAGACCUGCCCCUGUCUGCUCCGCAGCCUCCUGGCAGCCACCCAGCUGCGUCCUGUCUCUGGGUUUUCCUGCUCUGGUCUGGAAAGUUCUUAUCAACGACCAAGAUGAGACACUGGCAUGUACCAGUUCCCUGAGAGAAAUUAAAAUUCGGAAAGAAAACCAAAACAACAGGCUCACACAGCCUCGGGCGGCUGGCUUCGAGGGUCAGCCCGGUGGUCGCCGGGGUCGUGUCUGUGCCUUUCCACCAUCGAGUGAUAGCCCGCCGGGUGGCUGCUCACGCUCGUGGGCCUGUGCAUCUGCCGACAGGCCCUUGGCUGCGGCCAGCUCCGGCUGUUGUGAGCAGUGCCUUUGUGAGCCAUGUGUGCAGGGUCUGCUCGCACGCUGUUCGGGAUUCUCCGGGAACUGACUGACUCCAGCAUCUGCCCGUUGUGACCUCGAGGUUCUGGGGUGAGGCCAUCAGGAGCUGCGUCUGUUGGAGGAGGGCAUGGCGACCGCCACCGACUCUCCCAGGCGACAGCUCCCUCCAGGGGCCCCGUGGGGUGACAGGGGCUCAAGCCAGUCUCGUGUUUACCAUGCAAAGCAGCGCUGACCCGGAGGUCACUGCCCUGCAGGAAGCCAGCCGAGUUUCGCGCUGGCCCCUCAGAGUCCACGCCCCGACCUGUCCCGCCCAGGGGCCCUCAGGGGGCGCUUUAUCCAGCAUUGCACAGGUGAGGAAACUGAGGCGCAGCCGGACACCCUUUCCUCCUCCGGAAGGAACAGGGGUCGGGGAGGAAGAGGAGGUGAGUCCUCCCUGAGCCCAAACCCCUAAAUGCACAACGUCCCGGACCUCUCCAGCCUGCAGCCUGCGGGUGUCAGGGGCUCCAGAACCUUGGAACCCCUGAAAGGAUCUGAGGACCCCUGGGUUCAACAUGCCUCCCAGCUAAGGUUUCCUCAGUGGAACACACGCUGGGCCUGGCCGGGGCCCAGCACCGGGGAACGCAGGGCGUGGCUUGCAACCCUCCAGCGCGGGAACUCCUCCCUCCCUCGCUGUGGCCCCGAGGGUGGGCCCGGGAGGACCAGAGCGGACCGAAGG